rnacentral:rRNA from 1 species
UACGUAGGGACCAAGCGUUGUUCGGAUUUACUGGGCGUAAAGGGCGCGUAGGCGGCGUGGUAAGUCAGUUGUGAAAUCUCCGAGCUUAACUCGGAACGGCCAACUGAUACUGCUGUGCUAGAGUGCAGAAGGGGCAAUCAGAAUUCUUGGUGUAGCGGUGAAAUGCGUAGAUAUCAAGAGGAAUACCAGAGGUGAAGACGGGUUGCUAGGCUGACACUGACGCUGAGGCGCGAAAGCCAGGGGAGCGAACGGG